UACGGGGGGAGCAAGCGUUGUUCGGAUUUACUGGGCGUAAAGGGCGCGUAGGCGGUCAGCACAAGUCAGUCGUGAAAUCUCUGGGCUUAACUCGGAAAGGUCAACUGAUACUGUGCGACUAGAGUGCAGAAGGGGCAACUGGAAUUCUCGGUGUAGCGGUGAAAUGCGUAGAUAUCGAGAGGAACACCUGCGGCGAAGGCGGCGCUCUGGGCCGGAACUGACGCUGAGGAGCGAAAGCGUGGGUAGCAAACAGG
rnacentral:rRNA from 1 species